rnacentral:rRNA from 1 species
GAUGAACGCUGGCGGCGUGCCUAAUACAUGCAAGUCGAGCGAACAGAUGAGGAGCUUGCUCCUCUGACGUUAGCGGCGGACGGGUGAGUAACACGUGGAUAACCUACCUAUAAGACUGGGAUAACUUCGGGAAACCGGAGCUAAUACCGGAUAAUAUAUUGAACCGCAUGGUUGAAUAGUGAAAGACGGUUUUGCUGUCACUUAUAGAUGGAUCCGCGCCGCAUUAGCUAGUUGGUAAGGUAACGGCUUACCAAGGCGACGAUGCGUAGCCGACCUGAGAGGGUGAUCGGCCACACUGGAACUGAGACACGGUCCAGAGUCCUACGGGAGGCAGCAGUAGGGAAUCUUCCGAAAUGGGCGGAAGACUGACGGAGCAACGCCGCGUGAGUGAUGAAGGUCUUCGGAUCGUAAAACUCUGUUAUUAGGGAAGAACAAAUGUGUAAGUAACUAUGCACGUCUUGACGGUACCUAAUCAGAAAGCCACGGCUAACUACGUG